GACGCAGCGACGCCGCCGUGGGGGGAUGACGCCUUCGGGUUGUAAACCUCUUUUUACCACCAACGCAGGCUCGAAGUUCUCUUCGGGUUGACGGUAGGUGGGGAAUAAGGACCCGGCUAACUACGUGCCAGCAGCCGCGGUAAUACGUAGGGUCCCGAGCGUUGUCCGGAAUUAUUGGGCGUAAAGAGCUCGUAGGCGGCGUGUCGCGUCUGCUGUGAAAGACCGGGGCUUAACUCCGGUUCUGCAGUGGAUACGGGCAUGCUAGAGGUAGGUAGGGGAGACUGGAAUUCCUGGUGUAGCGGUGAAAUGCGCAGAUAUCAGGAGGAACACCGGUGGCGAAGGCGGGUCUCUGGGCCUUACCUGACGCUGAGGAGCGAAAGCAUGGGGAGCGAACAGGAUUAGAUACCCUGGUAGUCCAUGCCGUAAACGUUGGGCGCUAGGUGUGGGGACUUUCCACGGUUUCCGCGCCGUAGCUAACGCAUUAAGCGCCCCGCCUGGGGAGUACGGCCGCAAGGCUAAAACUCAAAGGAAUUGACGGGGGCCCGCACAAGCGGCGGAGCAUGUUGCUUAAUUCGACGCAACGCGAAGAACCUUACCAAGGUUUGACAUCACCCGUGGACUCGCAGAGAUGUGAGGUCAUUUAGUUGGCGGGUGACAGGUGGUGCAUGGCUGUCGUCAGCUCGUGUCGUGAGAUGUUGGGUUAAGUCCCGCAACGAGCGCAACCCUUGUUCCAUGUUGCCAGCACGUAAUGGUGGGGACUCAUGGGAGACUGCCGGGGUCAACUCGGAGGAAGGUGGGGAUGACGUCAAGUCAUCAUGCCCCUUAUGUCUUGGGCUGCAAACAUGCUACAAUGGCCGGUACAAUGGGCGUGCGAUACCGUAAGGUGGAGCGAAUCCCUAAAAGCCGGUCUCAGUUCGGAUUGGGGUCUGCAACUCGACCCCAUGAAGGUGGAGUCGCUAGUAAUCGCGGAUCAGCAACGCCGCGGUGAAUACGUUCCCGGGCCUUGUACACACCGCCCGUCACGUCAUGAAAGUCGGCAACACCCGAAACUUGCGGCCUAACCCC
rnacentral:rRNA from 1 species